rnacentral:rRNA from 1 species
AUUGAACGCUGGCGGCAGGCCUAACACAUGCAAGUCGAACGGUAACAGGAAGCAGCUUGCUGCUUCGCUGACGAGUGGCGGACGGGUGAGUAAUGUCUGGGAAACUGCCCGAUGGAGGGGGAUAACUACUGGAAACGGUAGCUAAUACCGCAUAAUGUCGCAAGACCAAAGAGGGGGACCUUCGGGCCUCUUGCCAUCGGAUGUGCCCAGAUGGGAUUAGCUGGUUGGUGAGGUAACGGCUCACCAAGGCGACGGUCCCUAGCUGGUCUGAGAGGAUGACCGACCACACUGGAACUGAGACACGGACCGGACUCCGACGGGAGGCAGCAGUGGGGAAUAUUGAACAAUGGGCGCAAGCCUGAUGCAGCCAGGCCGCGUGUAUGAAGAAGGCCUUCGGGUUGUAAAGUACUUUCAGCGGGGAGGAAGGUGUUGUGGUUAAUAACCGCAGCAAUUGACGUUACCCGCAGAAGAAGCACCGGCUAACUCCGUGCCAGCCGCCGCCGUAACAC